rnacentral:rRNA from 1 species
UACGUAGGGGGCAAGCGUUGUCCGGAUUUAUUGGGCGUAAAGAGCGUGUAGGCGGCCAUGUAGGUCCGUUGUGAAAACUCGAGGCUCAACCUCGAGACGCCGAUGGAAACCAUGUGGCUAGAGUCCGGAAGAGGAGAGUGGAAUUCCUGGUGUAGCGGUGAAAUGCGCAGAUAUCAGGAAGAACACCAGUGGCGAAGGCGGCUCACUGGCCCGGUACUGGCGCUGAGGUGCGAAAGCGUGGGGAGCAAACAGG